rnacentral:rRNA from 1 species
UGCGUAGGCGGCUUUUUAAGUCGGAUGUGAAAUCCCUGAGCUUAACUUAGGAAUUGCAUUCGAUACUGGGAAGCUAGAGUAUGGGAGAGGAUGGUAGAAUUCCAGGUGUAGCGGUGAAAUGCGUAGAGAUCUGGAGGAAUACCGAUGGCGAAGGCAGCCAUCUGGCCUAAUACUGACGCUGAUGGACGAAAGCUAGGGGAGCGAAAGGGAUUAGAUACCCCCGUA